CUUCUAUUAUUUUCUAAAGUCAUGAUCAAUGUCCGACGACGUAUAAUCUUUUUUGGCCACAUAUAAAAUAUAAUUAUGCAUGAACAAAAAUUAUCCUAUGCACACCAAUUAGAUAACUAAUUAAUCUUUUUGAGCACAGUGGAGAAAACUUCACAGCCUUCAUCAGGUCCCUACACACUGCCACCGCCGAUUGGUUAUCCUACUAGAGAUGCGAUGGUGGGUGAUCCUCCGGCAGCAGCAGUGGAGACCAAAUCCAAGGGCGUCGAAAAAGCAACGAAAAUUAAAUACUGGUAAAGGUAUUGAGGCAUGUUGCGAAUGUCUCCUGUGUUGCUUAUCAUAAUCAACAGGAUGAGACUGAAGUCGUUCACGAAAUCAGAAAAACAACGUACGUAAUAUAUAGAAAUUAAAGAACCAUCCAUCAGUAUCUUAUUAUCUAUAUUAUUCGUUUGUAAGGACUCCCACGUACAUUGCAUAUUUUAAGUUUAUUUCCUUCAUUGUUUGAAAGGGAUCCAUGAUUCUUCA